GUGCAUCGAAUUUUGUAUAGGAUGAAAACCUUGGUCAUCAGCAUAUGGGGGCUGUGUUCCACUAAGGGAAAAGUUUGAAUGCAAGUACCAGUGAGUCCCAUGGGAGGGACUUGAUCAUGCAGAGGUAUGAUCGAAGUAGCUGGAGAGUUGGACUGCUCUAGAGCUCAUAUUCGCUUAAGGGAGCCCGGCAAGUCAGAGGACAAGGCCGAGUAAGNN
rnacentral:lncRNA from 1 species